rnacentral:rRNA from 1 species
UACGUAGGUGGCAAGCGUUGUCCGGAAUCACUGGGCGUAAAGGGCGCGUAGGCGGCGCGGUAAGCGUGCGGUGAAAGCCCGGGGCUCAACCCCGGGUCGGCCGUGCGGACUGCCGGGCUGGAGCACUGUAGAGGCAGGUGGAAUUCCGGGUGUAGCGGUGGAAUGCGUAGAGAUCCGGAAGAACACCGGUGGCGAAGGCGGCCUGCUGGGCAGUGGCUGACGCUGAGGCGCGACAGCGUGGGGAGCAAACAGG